UACGUAGGGUGCAAGCGUUGUCCGGAAUUAUUGGGCGUAAAGAGCUUGUAGGCGGUUUGUUGCGUCUGGUGUGAAAUUUCGGGGCUCAACCCCGAACUUGCAGUGGGUACGGGCAGACUAGAGUGUGGUAGGGGAGACUGGAAUUCCUGGUGUAGCGGUGAAAUGCGCAGAUAUCAGGAGGAACACCGAUGGCGAAGGCAGGUCUCUGGGCAUUAACUGACGCUGAGGAGCGAAAGCAUGGGGAGAGAACAGG
rnacentral:rRNA from 1 species